UACGUAGGGGGCUAGCGUUGUCCGGAAUCAUUGGGCGUAAAGCGCGUGUAGGCGGCCCGGUAAGUCCGCUGUGAAAGUCGGGGGCUCAACCCUCGGAUGCCGGUGGAUACUGUCGGGCUCGAGUACGGAAGAGGCGAGUGGAAUUCCUGGUGGUAGCGGUGAAAUGCGCAGAUAUCAGGAUGGAACACCUAUUGCGAAGGCAGCUCGCUGGGACGUCACUGACGCUGAGACGC
rnacentral:rRNA from 1 species